rnacentral:rRNA from 1 species
UACGUAGGGUGCAAGCGUUGUCCGGAAUUAUUGGGCGUAAAGAGCUUGUAGGCGGUUUGUCGCGUCUGCUGUGAAAUUUCGGGGCUCAACCCCGAACUUGCAGUGGGUACGGGCAGACUAGAGUGUGGUAGGGGAGACUGGAAUUCCUGGUGUAGCGGUGAAAUGCGCAGAUAUCAGGAGGAACACCGAUGGCGAAGGCAGGUCUCUGGGCCGAUAACUGACGCUGAGAAGCGAAAAGCAUGGGGGAGCGAACAGG